GACGAACGCUGGCGGCGUGCCUAAUACAUGCAAGUCGAGCGGAAGUUGAAGAGCUUGCUCUUCAACUUUAGCGGCGGACGGGUGAGUAACACGUGGGCAACCUGCCCUGCAGAUCGGGAUAACUCCGGGAAACCGGUGCUAAUACCGAAUAGUUUUGGGUCCCUCCUGGGACCUAACGGAAAGACGGUUUCGGCUGUCACUGCAGGACGGGCCCUCGGCGCAUUAGCUAGUUGGUGGGGUAACGGCCCACCAAAGCGACGAUGCGUAGCCGACCUGAGAGGGUGAUCGGCCACACUGGGACUGAGACACGGCCCAGACUCCUACGGGAGGCAGCAGUAGGGAAUCUUCCGCAAUGGACGCAAGUCUGACGGAGCAACGCCGCGUGAGUGAUGAAGGUUUUCGGAUCGUAAAACUCUGUUGCGAGGGAAGAAACCGUGCCAAUUAACUACUGGCACCUUGACGGUACCUCGCCAGAAAGCCACGGCUAACUACGUGCCAGCCGCCGCAGUAA
rnacentral:rRNA from 1 species